rnacentral:rRNA from 1 species
CAGCCGCGGUAACACCGGCAGCUCUAGUGGUAGCAAUUUUAUUGGGCCUAAAGCGUCCGUAGCCGGUUUAAUAAGUCUCUGGUGAAAUCCUGCAGCUUAACUGUGGGAAUUGCUGGAGAUACUAUUAGACUUGAGACCGGGAGAGGUUAGAGGUACUCCCAGGGUAGAGGUGAAAUUCUGUAAUCCUGGGAGGACCGCCUGUUGCGAAGGCGUCUAACUGGAACGGUUCUGACGGUGAGGGACGAAAGUUAGGGGCGCGAACCGGAUUAGAUACCCGGGUAGUCCUAACUGUAAACGAUGCGGACUUGGUGUUGGGGUGGCUUUGAGCUGCUUCAGUGCCGAAGGGAAGCUGUUAAGUCCGCCGCCUGGGAAGUACGGUCGCAAGACUGAAACUUAAGGAAUUGGCGGGGGAGCACCACAACGCGUGGAGCCUGCCGGUUUAAUUGGAUUCAACGCCGGACAUCUCACCAGAGGCGACAGCUGUAUGAUAGCCAGGUUGAUGACUUUGCUUGACUAGCUGAGAAGUGGUGCAUGG